rnacentral:rRNA from 1 species
UACGUAGGGUGCGAGCGUUUGUCCGGAAUUAUUGGGCGUAAAGGGGCUCGUAGGCGGUUUGUCGCGUCGGGAGUGAAAACACCGGGCUUAACUCGGUGCUUGCUUUCGAUACGGGCAGACUAGAGGUAUUCAGGGGAGAACGGAAGUUCCUGGUGUAGCGGUGAAAUGCGCAGAUAUCAGGAAGAACACCCGUGGCUAAGGCGGCUCUCUAGUACGGUACUGACGCUGAGACGCGAAAGCGUGGGGGAGCGAACAGG